AUAAUAAUUUUAUUGAAUUAAAACACUGAAAACAUGAACAAAAAAUAGAGUGCAGUUUGUUCUGCUUAUUGUGCAACAUCUGUGGAUUACAUUGGCCUCAUUUUAAUGACUAAUUUGCUAAAAUAUUGAUGCAAAUCAAGUACCUGUGCAACCAUUCCAAAUAAUUAGCUAGUACAGUUCACAAAUACAGUAAUACAUUACAGUUUUAUUUGUGAAACCAGAUGUUGAGCCCACCAAAUCAGCCUUUGUAAGAUAGUUUUGAGUGAGGAUCAUUCAUCUACUCUGUUGCUUUAGUUUAUAUUUGAGGCUGUGCCUCAUCUGUGCAGUUGUGUCAGCACAAAUUUUUAAACUGAAAAAUUGGGUUUGGUGUCAUUUAGUUCUGAAUGCACAUGUAACUGACAGAACUACCUUCUGUUUUCCUGAUUACUGGAUUUACCUUGCAGCCACCGUAGUAAUUUCGUCCUCAGCAACACCUCCCAGGAAGCUAGUGAGUGGCUAACGGGUAAUUAGCUUGAUGUUCCAUUUUGUAUAUAUGGGCUCUGUCAUACAUGACAUUUUUAAAUCCGUCUACCUUAUUUCUUUGUUGCGUUCCUGCCCGCAGUGCGACCUAUGCUGAAAGGUGUUUGCUGCUCCACAUCUACUUCCUGCUGAUAUGCGAGUGUGUUUGCCACGGAAGGUCUGCGCUGUGAGACGCCAAAUGGAGUAACACGUCAUCAUUCGCUUUGUUUGGAAUGCACAUAGAGGCAAAACGACACUACGGUUGCCUGCUCCGCCUCCACAGUAUUGCGGCUGGUCAGAAGGGGCUGGUUGCCGGACUCGGGUCCCCUUCCCUCACUGCAUGCGGUGGUACUUUUGUAGUGGUAAAGUGCACUUCAUAAUUUACUGUGGUCACCUUUUGCAGUACGUGUGUGUGUGUGUGUGUAAGCAGGCACCUGGAUUAAGAGCACCAUUGGAUGAAUCUCCCCUCCAGUGAAGGUAACCUCCCCGGCAGUCAGCCUGCUUCUCCGCCCCCCCCCCCUUCCCAAUAUUGUUUCUUAUAUCUGGUGGCAGUCAGUACCCCUCUCUCGGGCUGCAGCCCAUGAUCUUUCAUAAAGUUGUAAUACUUUUAACUUUUGUAUGAAUAAACCAUUUUUAUACCUCUA